ACAUCCAAGGCCAAUAAGUGGAACAGGAAAAGUCGAGCUCGAGAACGACGGAACGCGUAGGCGACGCUGAAGAUGUAGAUUACAGGGUUAGAACGGAGGAGGCAAUAGCUGGAACACUUGGCCAGAAGAAGGAGAAAACUGGGAAACAAACCGAAGAGUGCGAGGAAGUGGGCUAACUCAAUUGGUCUCUUGGCAAACGCAUUAUGGGUCACUAAGCCGCACGGCCAUUGUCAGACGUUGACUUUGUCACUACCCACUCUUUCUAUAUCUUCCGUCUGUUUCCUCAGCUCUGCCCCUUAACAAGUGCAUUCCGACGCGAUUGACAUGCAACACGCGUUGGGGCGCCCACUUUCCGGACUUUCAGGGGGGGCGUUGCAGCGACUGGGGGCGUGGCACGCACCGUUGUCGCUUGGCUUAGUUUAUAAAACUUGUU
ensembl:ncRNA lncRNA:CR45097 long non-coding RNA:CR45097